rnacentral:rRNA from 1 species
CCUACGGGAGGCAGCAGUGGGGAAUAUUGGACAAUGGGCGAAAGCCUGAUCCAGCAAUGCCGCGUGAGUGAUGAAGGCCUUAGGGUUGUAAAGCUCUUUUACCAGGGAUGAUAAUGACAGUACCUGGAGAAUAAGCUCCGGCUAACUCCGUGCCAGCAGCCGCGGUAAUACGGAGGGGGCUAGCGUUGUUCGGAAUUACUGGGCGUAAAGCGUACGUAGGCGGUUAUUCAAGUCAGAGGUGAAAGCCUGGAGCUCAACUCCAGAACUGCCUUUGAAACUAGAUAGCUAGAAUCUUGGAGAGGUGAGUGGAAUUCCGAGUGUAGAGGUGAAAUUCGUAGAUAUUCGGAAGAACACCAGUGGCGAAGGUGACUCACUGGACAAGUAUUGACGCUGAGGUACGAAAGCGUGGGGAGCAAACAGGAUUAGAUACCCUGGUAGUCCACGCCGUAAACGAUGAUAACUAGCUGUUCGGGCUCUACGAGCUUGAGUGGCGCAGCUAACGCAUUAAGUUAUCCGCCUGGGGAGUACGGUCGCAAGNUUAAAACUCAAAGGAAUUGACGGCNGAGAGNGCGAGACGACGACGAGGGAGAGG